CCUACGGGAGGCAGCAGUGAGGAAUAUUGGUCAAUGGGCGGAAGCCUGAACCAGCCAAGUAGCGUGCAGGAUGACGGCCCUACGGGUUGUAAACUGCUUUUAUACGGGAAUAACGCGCCUUACGUGUAGGGCUUUGCAUGUACCGUAUGAAUAAGGACCGGCUAAUUCCGGGCCAGCAGCCGCGGUAAUACGGAAGGUCCGGGCGUUAUCCGGAUUUAUUGGGUGUAAAGGGAGCGUAGGCGGCGUGUCAAGCGUGCGGUGAAAUGUCCGGGGUCAACCCGGGCCUUGCAGGGGGAACGGGCGGGCGUGAGUGCGGGGAAGGCAGGCGGAAUUCGUGGUGUAGCGGUGAAA
rnacentral:rRNA from 1 species